rnacentral:rRNA from 1 species
UAUUAAUAAGCGGAGGAAAAGGAAUUAACAAAGAUUCCCCCAGUAACGGCGAGUGAAGUGGGAUGUAGCCCAGCACCGAAUCCUAGCGGCCGAUGCGUCGUGUGGACCUGUGGUGUUCGGGGCCCCGACUUUCGUUCAGCUUCGAUGCGCCUCAGUUUCAUUGAAAGGGCUGUUGCUCCAGAGCGGGUGUCAGACCCUUGUGUAGCGCACGGGCGGACGAAGGUAGAGGGGGCCCCACGAGUCGGGUUGUUUGAGAGUGCAGCCCAAAGACGGUGGUAAGCUCCAUCGAAGGCUAAACACUGCCACGAGUCCGAUAGCGAACAAGUACCGUGAGGGAACGUUGAAAAGGACUUCGAAGAGAGAGUUCAAGAGUACGUGAAACCGCCUAAAGGGAAACGAGUGGCUCCGCAUUGUCGGCCUGCGGUGUUCAUUUCGCUCGUCUGAGCGACCGGUCGUUCGAAGGACUUGCUUCCGAAGCUUGACCUCGAUUCGAUGCGGGUCGCCUCGCGAGUGGGUGCAUUUGCCGCGAGGCAGGGCGUCACGAUCGCUUCUAUAUGGUGCGCGACCGUCGGUGGUGCCGGCUUGAGCGAGCGUCCCUUCCGGGGACGCACGACUUGCGCGGCCUGCUGUCCCGCGUGCCUGGGAGCGUGUAACGAUCGGUUCGACUUCGCUGGUCGCUGUCUCUGCUGUCGGAGCCUGCCGUCGGUUCACACUACGUGUGACCGCGCGGUGGCACUGGCGCAGAGCAAGGCGAUCGGCGUGCUGAGCCUUGUAUCGGUGGCGAUUGAGUCGGUCUGCUACUCGUCCCGUCUUGAAACACGGACCAAGGAGUCUAGCAUGUGCGCGAGUCGCAGAGUGCCUACGAGACUCUUGGGCGAAAUGAAAGUGAGAUGACGCGUCGCCUUCGGACGUCGAAAAAGGUGGGAUCCGAUCGCGCGGUCUGUAGACUCGCGCGACGGCGCACCACCAGCCCGCCUCAUUGAGACGCCGACCGUCGACCGCCAGGUUGGCGGCGGACGUCGAGACGGAGCGAGAGCGUACAUGCUGGUACCCGAAAGAUGGUGAACUAUGCCUGGGCAGGACGAAGCCAGAGGAAACUCUGGUGGAGGUCCGCAGCGGUUCUGACGUGCAAAUCGAUCGUCAAACCUGGGUAUAGGGGCGAAAGACUAAUCGAACCAUUUAGUAGCUGGUUCCCUUCGAAGUUUCCCUCAGGAUAGCUGGCCUUUGGAAACGAAUCAGUUUUAUCCGAUAAAGCGACGAUUGGAGGCGUCGGGGUCUACACGACCUUAACCUACUCUCAAACUUUAAAUGGGUGAGAGACUCGGCUCGCAGACAAACGGAGCCGAGUGACGAGCGAAUGAGAAGGCCAAGUGGGCCAUUUUUGGUAAGCAGAACUGGCGCUGUGGGAUGAACCAAACGCGCGGUUAAGGUGCCAGACGCUAAUGCUCAGUGGAACCCAUAAAAGGUGUUGCUUGGUAUAGACAGCAGGACGGUGGCCAUGGAAGUCGGAAACCGCUAAGGAGUGUGUAACAACUCACCUGCCGAACCAAGCAGC